UAAGGCAUUGAGGUUAAAAUAUAUAGGCUGUGCAACGGGCAUCCUACUGUAAAAAGUACCGUUGACAGGUUGUUGCGUGGUAGCAAUACUAUAUAUACUCUCUCUCGUUUUAUAAACUUAGGCGACUCUAGUAACUAAAAGGUGAAAAUGAGUCGCCCUCU
rnacentral:misc_RNA from 1 species